rnacentral:tRNA from 1 species
GAGUCUGUAGCUUAAUUGGGAAAGCGUCUACCUUGCAAGUAGAAAAAUGUCAGUAUCUGCGUUGCAGACGCUAACGCGAACAAAUCUGACCAGAAUCCACCA